GUGCUCGCUUGGGCAGCGCAUAUACUAAAAUUCUAGCCAUACGGAGAGGAUUGGCAUGGCUCCGGUGCAAGGAUGAUAUGAAAAUUCGUGAAGCAUUAUAUACUAGU
ensembl:snRNA U6 U6 spliceosomal RNA